GAUGAACGCUGGCGGCGUGCCUAAUACAUGCAAGUCGUGCGAACAGACGAGGAGCUUGCUCCUCUGACGUUAGCGGCGGACGGGUGAGUAACACGUGGAUAACCUACCUAUAAGACUGGGAUAACUUCGGGAAACCGGAGCUAAUACCGGAUAAUAUAUUGAACCGCAUGGUUCAAUAGUGAAAGACGGUUUUGCUGUCACUUAUAGAUGGAUCCGCGCCGCAUUAGCUAGUUGGUAAGGUAACGGCUUACCAAGGCAACGAUGCGUAGCCGACCUGAGAGGGUGAUCGGCCACACUGGAACUGAGACACGGUCCAGACUCCUACGGGAGGCAGCAGUAGGGAAUCUUCCGCAAUGGGCGAAAGCCUGACGGAGCAACGCCGCGUGAGUGAUGAAGGUCUUCGGAUCGUAAAACUCUGUUAUUAGGGAAGAACAAAUGUGUAAGUAACUAUGCACGUCUUGACGGUACCUAAUCAGAAAGCCACGGCUAACUACGUG
rnacentral:rRNA from 1 species